rnacentral:rRNA from 1 species
ACACGUAGGGGGCGAGCGUUGUUCGGAAUCAUUGGGCGUAAAGGGCGUGCAGGCGGUCCUGCAAGUCCGGCGUGAAAGACCCCGGCCCAACCGGGGGGACGCGCUGGAAACUGCAGGGCUUGAGUACAGGAGGGGAUGCCGGAAUUCCAGGAGUAGGGGUGAAAUCUGUAGAUAUCUGGAAGAACACCAAUGGCGAAGGCAGGCAUCUGGCCAUGUACUGACGCUGAGACGCGAAGGUGCGGGGAGCAAACAGGUUUAGAUACCCUGGUAGUCCGCACAGUAAACGAUGUGCACCAGGUGGCGGGGGGUCGACCCCCGGUACCGUAGCUAACGCAUUAAGUGCACCGCCUGGGGAGUAUGCUCGCAAGGGUGAAACUUAAAGGAAUUGACGGGG